ACCAGAUGUGGUGGAGCAUACCUGUAAUCCCAGCAGCUAGGGAGGCUGAGGCAGGAGGAUCACAGGCUGGAGGCCAGCCUCAGCAAUUUAGGAAGGCCCUACACAACUUUGGGAGACCCUGUCUCAA
rnacentral:sRNA from 1 species